rnacentral:misc_RNA from 1 species
AACGCACCUUGCGCUCCUUGGUAUUCCGAGGAGCAUGCCUGCUUGAGUGUCAUUAAAUUCUCAACCUUUAUCAGCUUUUGCUGAUGAUGGCUUGGAUGUUGGGGUUUAUUUUGCUGGCUUCUUUACAGAUGGUCAGCUCCCCUUAAAUGCAUUAGCCGGUGCCCCGCGUGGACUGUCUAUUGGUGUGAUAAUUAUCUACGCCGUGGACAUCUGCAAUCAUAUGGGUUUGCACUGCUUCCAAUCGUCUGUUCAAUCAGACAAUACAUGACAAUUUGACCUCAAAUCAGGUAGGACUACCCGCUGAACUUAA